CACGUAGGCACCAAGCGUUAUCCGGAUUUAUUGGGCGUAAAGAGCUCGUAGGCGGUUCGGUAAGUCGGGUGUGAAAACUCUGGGCUCAACCCAGAGAGGCCACCCGAUACUGCUGUGACUAGAGUGCGGUAGGGGAGCGGGGAAUUCCUGGUGUAGCGGUGAAAUGCGCAGAUAUCAGGAGGAACACCGAUGGCGAAGGCAGGUCACUGGGCCGCAACUGACGCUGAGGAGCGAAAGCAUGGGGAGCGAACAGG
rnacentral:rRNA from 1 species